UUCACGAUUCAAAUUCCAAUUAUCAUCAUAAUCCCUAACUUCUGCUUCUCCUAAAAUCACCUCAAUUGAAUCCACUUUCUGAAGAAGAAGAAGAAAAAAGGCCGAUUUAAAGAAGAAGAAGAAGAAGUUAACAACAAUAAACAAGUCGAGAAAUCACUACUGGUAUGAAAUCACAGAAUGAAGCAGAUAAUUCUGCCAAGAGAACAUCUUCAUUUCAGCAAUCUGCAUCUUCUUCUAUUUAUUUUCAGAGGCCAUCAUCUUUGAAGCUGGUAACAUUGCGGGUGUCUCAAAGGAAAUGGAAUAUGGUUUUUGGAAUCGGAAUAAGUUGCAGGUUGCUAAGUUGGAGAUGUUUCUGGAAAGGAUCAAUAGGGUUAUAGUGUUGGAGGUACUGAAAUCACCAAUUCUCAAGAAUGAGUGCGUGUUCUUAAAUGGUAAACCACCUUGCAGCGGCGGUGGAUUCGACUAAUAGCUUAUCUCUCUGUUCAACCCGGUGGACCAUUUCUUUCCUCCACAUCAGUAGUUCAGGUCGUCACUCCAUUGCGACCUCUUCUUUUUUAAUGUAGCUCUCCACUUUUCCGUCAAAAGUUUUUUUUUUUUUUUGUAAUAAGUUCCUCCACAGUAAAAUAUAAAAAUUAACAUUAAUAUAGGCUGUUUGGACUUUGGAUAUCAUUCAGAAAGAUGUUUUUCUGACUUCUAGAAGCAAAAAAUUCAGAAGGUAGUUUGGGCAUAUAAUUUCUGAAUGACUUCUAGAAGAAGAAAAGUUAACUUUCUGACUUCUGGCCAAACACCCUCUAAGGUGAAAAAUUCCGUAACCCAAAUAACUUGGCUAGUGGUUGUAGAAGAAGCUGCCAGGCAUAGGAACGCAAUCAGAGAUGAAACUUCCCUUGGUUCUCCAAUACACUGGAUUGGGUUCAUGCGACGAUGCUUUGUAGGUGCUCCUUGUCUUCCUGCAUCUGCGAUGGAAACAAUUGUAGGGGGAUGUUGUGGUAAACAUACUAGUUAUGUACAGUCUGGCCAUCAGAGUAGUCAGUGAGUAGUUUGAUUUCUGAGUAAACAAAUUUAGAGUUGCUGCAUUAUGUCUUGAGAUUUUAUGUUAGUCCCACAUAGUCUGUUGCUGUACAUUUACAAGAUUUAAGGCAGUACACAGCAGUCGGGAUGUAAAGAACCAUUUCAUGCAGUGGCUGAAUUUGCUGUGCCAAGCUCAAAGUCCAAAUCCUCCGUGAAAAUGGAAUGGUGAACCCAAUUCUACUUUCCCAUUUCAUUUUCGUAUUGGGGGUUCUUCUCCUUAUGGUGGAACUGGGUGCCGUAAGUGCUUUGGAAUGGACUGCUGAGCAUAAAAAAUUUGAAGUUUUUCGACAAUCUGACUCAACAGCUGCUAUUGCUGCUUUCAUGACUCACAAAAGACCUUCUUUUGGAAGCAAUCUAUUCACUUAAGGCAUGCUUCCCGGGAAAUCACAGUUUUUUGUUCUUUUUUGCUAGGAGUACACUUGUCCAGAGGUCAAAUCCCUACUUUCAAUCCCAGACCAAGUAGAAUUUCUCUUGCUAUGGAUUUGCUCAAGUUUUGUUGUUGGGCCUUUAGGUGUAUGGCGCUGU